rnacentral:rRNA from 1 species
GUUGGACCUCGGAUCAGGUAGGGAUACCCGCUGAACUUAAGCAUAUCAAUAAGCGGA